rnacentral:rRNA from 1 species
ACGUAGGUGGCAAGCGUUGUCCGGAUUUACUGGGCGUAAAGAGCGCGCAGGCGGUCGGAUUAGUCGCGUGUGAAAGCCCCCGGCUCAACUGGGGAGGGUCACGCGAUACUGUUCGACUCGAAGGCAGGAGAGGGAAGUGGAAUUCCCGGUGUAGUGGUGAAAUGCGUAGAUAUCGGGAGGAACACCAGUGGCGAAGGCGACUUCCUGGCCUGUUCUUGACGCUGAGGCGCGAAAGCUAGGGUAGCAAACGGGA